rnacentral:lncRNA from 1 species
AUGAAAAGCCCUGCAGGGUAUAGCUAUCAGUACAACUUCCAGGAAAUGCCGAGUGGUGCAGGAGUGAUGAGCGUGCCACAGCAAAACUGGUCAACGAUCCAAAGGGAAAGGGAAAACUUUAGGAAUGAAAGUCGCCAGAUGCCUCACACAUACAGCUUAGCACGAACAGAAAGGAACCUGGCUGAACACAUUGAGAGGAAAAUCAGCAGCUUUCCGGAAGAGCAGAGGGACUGUCCAGCGUAUUCCCCGUAUCAGUACGAAUAUGAGGGGAAGGGCAGUGACUGUCAGUCACUGGAUCAGCUGACUGUUAGCAACCUCGGAAAUAACCUGGACUUCCUGCAGAACCUGGGGCCAAAGUUCAACACUCUGGGUGGGAUCUGUCAACAGUCAAUGGAGCGCAGGAACGUCCGGCUGUGA